UGUAAAGCUCUUUCGACGGGGAUGAUAAUGACCGUACCCGUAGAAGAAGCCACGGCUAAAUUCGUGCCAGCAGCCGCGGUAAUACGAAUGUGGCAAGCGUUGUUCGGAAUCACUGGGCGUAAAGAAUGCGUAGGCGGCUUGACAAGUCAGGAGUGAAAUCCCAGGGCUUAACCCUGGAACUGCUUUUGAAACUGUCAGGCUAGUGUCCCGGAGGGGUUGACGGAAUUCCGAGUGUAGAGGUGAAAUUCGCAGAUAUUCGGAGGAACACCAGUGGCGUAAGCGGUCAACUGGACGGGUACAGACGCUGAGGCAUGAAAGUGUGGGGAGCAAACAGGAUUAGAUACCCUGGUAGUCCACACCGUAAACGAUGUGUGCUAGUUGUUGGGCAGCUUAGCUGUUCAGUGACGGAGCUAACGUUUUAAGCACACCGCCUGGGAAGUACGGCCGCAAGGUUAAAACUCAAAGGAAUUGACGGGGACCCGCACAAGCGGUGGAACAUGUUCUUUAAUUCGUAGCAACGCGAAGAACCUUACCUACCCUUGACAUACCGGUUGGGAUUUCCAGAGAUGGAUUUCUUCAUUUAGUUGGACCGGAUACAGGUGCUGCAUGGCUGUCGUCAGCUCGUGUCGUGAGAUGUUGGGUUAAGUCCCGCAACGAGCGCAACCCUCGUCGUCUGUUGCCACCAUUCAGUUGGGCACUCAGACGAGACUGCCGGUGACAAGCCGGAGGAAGGCGGGGAUGACGUCAAGUCAUCAUGGCCCUUACGGGUAGGGCUAGAAACGUGUUACAAUGGUGGUGACAGUGGGUCGCAAGGUCGCGAGGCCAAGCCAAUCCCCAAAAGCCAUCUCAGUUCGGAUUGCACUCUGCAACUCGAGUGCAUGAAGUUGGAAUCGCUAGUAAUCGUGGAUCAGCACGCCACGGUGAAUACGUUCCCGGGUCUUGUACACAC
rnacentral:rRNA from 1 species